CCUACGGGAGGCUGCAGUGGGGAAUAUUGGACAAUGGGGGCAACCCUGAUCCAGCCAUGCCGCGUGUGUGAAGAAGGCCCUCGGGUUGUAAAGCACUUUCAGUGAGGAAGAACGCCUGGUGGUUAAUACCCAUCAGGAAAGACAUCACUCACAGAAGAAGCACCGGCUAACUCCGUGCCAGCAGCCGCGGUAAUACGGAGGGUGCGAGCGUUAAUCGGAAUUACUGGGCGUAAAGCGCGCGUAGGUGGCUUGAUAAGCCGGUUGUGAAAGCCCCGGACUCAACCUGGGAACGGCAUCCGGAACUGUCAAGCUAGAGUGCAGGAGAGGAAGGUAGAAUUCCCGGUGUAGCGGUGAAAUGCGUAGAGAUCGGGAGGAAUACCAGUGGCGAAGGCGGCCUUCUGGACUGACACUGACACUGAGGUGCGAAAGCGUGGGUAGCAAACAGGAUUAGAUACCCCUGUAGUC
rnacentral:rRNA from 1 species